rnacentral:rRNA from 1 species
CCUACGGGAGGCAGCAGUGGGGAAUAUUGGACAAUGGGGGGAACCCUGAUCCAGCGACGCCGCGUGAGUGAAGAAGUAUUUCGGUAUGUAAAGCUCUAUCAGCAGGGAAGAAAAUGACGGUACCUGACUAAGAAGCCCCGGCUAACUACGUGCCAGCAGCCUCGGUAAUACGUAGGGGGCAAGCGUUAUCCGGAUUUCCUGGGUGUAAAGGGAGCGUAGACGGCAGAGCAAGUCUGGAGUGAAAUGCCGGGGCCCAACCCCGGAACUGCUGUGGAAACGGUGAAGCUGGAGUGCAGGAGAGGUAAGCGGAAUUCGUGGUGUAGCGGGGAAAUGCGUAGAUAGCAGGAGGAACACCGGCGGCGAAGGCGGCUUACUGGACUGUAACUGACGUUGAGGCUCGAAGGCGUGGGGAGCAAACAGGAGUAGAUACCCCGGUAGUC